UACGGGGGGGGCAAGCGUUGUUCGGAAUUACUGGGCGUAAAGGGCCAGUAGGCGGCCAACUAAGUCGGAUGUGAAAUCCCCAGGCUUAACCUGGGAACUGCAUCCGAUACUGGAUGGCUUGAAUUCGGGAGAGGGAUGCAGAAUUCCAGGUGUAGCGGUGAAAUGCGUAGAUAUCUGGAGGAACACCGGUGGCGAAGGCGGGUCUCUGGGCAGUAACUGACGCUGAGGAGCGAAAGCGUGGGGAGCGAACAGG
rnacentral:rRNA from 1 species